UACGUAGGGUGCGAGCGUUGUCCGGAAUUAUUGGGCGUAAAGAGCUUGUAGGCGGUUUGUCGCGUCUGCUGUGAAAUUCCGGGGCUCAACCCCGGACUUGCAGUGGGUACGGGCAGACUAGAGUGUGGUAGGGGAGACUGGAAUUCCUGGUGUAGCGGUGGAAUGCGCAGAUAUCAGGAGGAACACCGAUGGCGAAGGCAGGUCUCUGGGCCACUACUGACGCUGAGAAGCGAAAGCAUGGGGAGCGAACAGG
rnacentral:rRNA from 1 species